rnacentral:rRNA from 1 species
CAGCCGCCGCGGUAAUACGAGGGGGGCAAGCGUUGUUCGGAAUUAUUGGGCGUAAAGGGUGCGUAGGCGGUUUGACAAGUCUUAUGUGAAAUCCCCGGGCUCAACCUGGGAAUGGCGCUUGUGACUGCAAAGCUAGAGUGCGGCAGAGGGGGAUGGAAUUCCGCGUGUAGCAGUGAAAUGCGUAGAUAUGCGGAGGAACACCGAUGGCGAAGGCAAUCCCCUGGGCCUGCACUGACGCUCAUGCACGAAAGCGUGGGGAGCAAACAGGAUUAGAUACCCGAGUAGUCCCUGUCUCUUAUAC